rnacentral:lncRNA from 1 species
GUUUGGCUCGACUCCCAUGUCUGCCCAUCCAUGAUCAGCAGGCAAUUGCCCCAAGGCAUAGGGGCGAGGAGAUUUAGAAGCUCUCGGAGUUAGGAGGAGGUCGAAUAUCAAAUCGAGAUAGAGAUUGUUAAGAUUUUAUGUCUCGAGAUUUAAUCCAUAUUGAGCCCACAGCGAGAUCCGCGAUGAAAAAUAGAAUCCAACG